GGAUACGUCCUUGUUGGAUGAACGUAAUGGCCGUCUUCAGGUUCUGAGCCAUGCGGAGGUUCAGCAUGAUGCUGGGCAGUCGCCUCCUGCAGAAGGACGAGGCCGUGACCUUCUCUGUCAGCGACAGGUUCUGUCUGGUGGGGAUCAGGCCGAUGCUGUACCUGAUCAACCAGAGGAGCAGACAGUGUCGCAUCAGGUUAACACGAGUCACAAUCCACUGAGGCUUCGUGUGGAAAGGUCAGAGGGCAACAACAGAUGUGAUCAAAGUAGGGG